UUUUUCAUUGUGAAGGAUGGUCAUUAAGUUUUAAAAUAUGUUUCAUUGAGGUAGAUAUCUCCUCGGCCUUUCAAAUAUCCCAAGGGUUUCAAGGGCAUCGGAAUUUCUUCAAUCAGUCACUCAAUUUCUGUUGUUCCAAUGUGAUAUUUUGAAUAGUUUUAUCUUUUGUUGUUAGCAUUCCAAAAAAAUAAGACUUGCUUGAUUUGGAAUAAGAAGGAAUUUUUGGUGAAUUUUUGAGUUUGAGGGAGUUGACUACCUUUGCAGUUUGAAUCAAUCGAGUUUGGAAAGGCAUUUCUCAGUGCUUGGUAAUUCGAUUUAUUUGAAAUUUUGGAAGCAUCAAGAUUUAUAAGCUAAGCUCUGAAAG
rnacentral:lncRNA from 1 species